rnacentral:pre_miRNA from 1 species
AUUACCGAAAGAUCUUGUUAAUAUGUAGAUUCUAAUACAAUAGGUCAGGGGCCUAAGAGUCUGCAUUUCUAACAAGUUCUCAGGUGAUGUCAA